UUGACCUCAAAUCAGGUAGGACUACCCGCUGAACUUAAGCAUAUCAAUAAGCGGAGGAAAAGAAACUAACAAGGAUUCCCUUAGUAACUGCGAGUGAAGAGGGAAAAGCUCAAAUUUAAAAUCUGGCAGUGUUUCACUGUCCGAGUUGUAACCUAGAGAAGUGUAACCUGUGCUGGACCGUGUAUAAGUCUCCUGGAAUGGAGCAUCAUAGAGGGUGAGAAUCCCGUCUUUGACAUGGACUACCAGUGCAUUGUGGUUGCGCUCUCAACGAGUCGAGUUGUUUGGGAAUGCAGCUCUAAAUGGGUGGUAAAUUCCAUCUAAAGCUAAAUAUUGGCGAGAGACCGAUAGCGAACAAGUACCGUGAGGGAAAGAUGAAAAGAACUUUGGAAAGAGAGUUAAACAGUAUGUGAAAUUGUUGAAAGGGAAACGUUUGAAGUCAGUCGCGUUGGUUGGGGAUCAGCCUGACAUUGUUGGGUGUACUUCCUGGUUGACGGGCCAACAUCAGUUUUGACUGCCAGAAAAAGGCCAAAGGAAUGUGGCACCUUUGGGUGUGUUAUAGCCCUUGGUCGUAUAUGGUGGUUGGGACUGAGGAAAGCAGCG
rnacentral:rRNA from 1 species